ACAGAGGUCUCAAGCGUUGUUCGGAUUCAUUGGGCGUAAAGGGCGCGUAGGCGGUAGGAUAAGUCGGAUGUGAAAUUCCGGGGCUCAACCCCGGAGCGGCAUUUGAAACUAUCUUACUAGAGUGCAGUUAGGGAAAACGGAAUUCCACGUGUAGCGGUGAAAUGCGUAGAUAUGUGGAAGAACACCAGUGGUGAAGACGGUUUUCUGGGCUGUAACUGACGCUGAGGCGCGAAAGCAAGGGGAGCAAACAGG
rnacentral:rRNA from 1 species